UGAACCCUCCAAUUCAACAGUAAAUACAAUAACAUACAUUUAAUUAUUAACGGGACAUAAAAUGCCUGGUAAACAUAAAACGAUACAUUUUCAAUCUUCAGACGAUUUACGAGCUAUAAAAUCGAGCUUAUCGUGUUUGCAUAUAAGGUUUUAGAGGUUUGACAAAAUGUUUCCUUUACCUGCAACUUUUUAUUGUUUCUGCUUUUGGUAUAAUCUAUUUUCGAUAUCGCUCACCCAAAAAACUUAUAAAGGAUAUGGGUCGAUCACACUGCGUCAGAAAAAGAACACGACUAUCAGAAACAUGUGAAGAUGGAACAAAAGAGAUAGUAGAUAGAAGUUGAAGAGUUUGGAGGAGGCUUUUGCUCCUUCGGGAGCCGUUUACUAAUUUAACAUAUAACAUAAAGUGAAUGUAACUAUUUUAUAUGUUCUGUAAGUUUUUUAGAUACAUUGGAUUGUUAUAUGCUCCAUUUAAAACAAGUUUUUCGAACAUGAAUAUCCUCACGUUGUUUUCCUUCACUAUACUUGUCAUUGGAGCAGGGGAUCGAACCUGUCAUCAGGGAUGAACUCCUGAACCCUGAAGUUGUCAACUAAGCUGAAAAUGAGCCCCCAAAAAAAGAUUGAAAUUAAAGUUAAUAACGCCUAUGAAGAUCCUGGGUAAAUUUCCAGGAGGAACAUUAUUUUGGGUUAGGUUAAUAUUAUAUAUAUAUAGUCUACCUUACUUUUAGCAGAUUGAACUAUAUAUAAAAUUCAAUCUUUGCAAAAUCACAUAAUAUUUAUUUUAUAUCAUUUUCAUUAAGAUGUUUUUAAUAGAAUUACGCAGCGUCAUGGUUCAAAAUGUAUUUUAAACCAGUUUUAACUCUUUGAAAAUCCAAUAUCCUCGGUCCACAGAAGUUUUGGAUGUAAUUAGAAUUAUGAUGGUCAUAAAAUUUGUCUCGGGUAGAAAUUUAUUUCUGCAAAAGUAAUUAAGGGAUAAAAUUAGAAUUAAAUCUUAGAUUACUAACUGCA